rnacentral:rRNA from 1 species
UUUUUUUUUUUUUAUAUAUAUAUUAUUUGUGUGUUAUUGUUAUUUAUUAUUAGUUUUUGUUGUAUUUAAUGAUUUUAAAUAUUUUUAUU